CAGGCUUAACACAUGCAAGUCGAGGGGCAGCAUGGUCUUAGCUUGCUAAGGCCGAUGGCGACCGGCGCACGGGUGAGUAACACGUAUCCAACCUGCCGUCUACUCUUGGACAGCCUUCUGAAAGGAAGAUUAAUACAAGAUGGCAUCAUGAGUCCGCAUGUUCACAUGAUUAAAGGUAUUCCGGUAGACGAUGGGGAUGCGUUCCAUUAGAUAGUAGGCGGGGUAACGGCCCACCUAGUCUUCGAUGGAUAGGGGUUCUGAGAGGAAGGUCCCCCACAUUGGAACUGAGACACGGUCCAAACUCCUACGGGAGGCAGCAGUGAGGAAUAUUGGUCAAUGGGCGAGAGCCUGAACCAGCCAAGUAGCGUGAAGGAUGACUGCCCUAUGGGUUGUAAACUUCUUUUAUAAAGGAAUAAAGUCGGGUAUGGAUACCCGUUUGCAUGUACUUUAUGAAUAAGGAUCGGCUAACUCCGUGCCAGCAGCCGCGGUAAUACGGAGGAUCCGAGCGUUAUCCGGAUUUAUUGGGUUUAAAGGGAGCGUAGAUGGAUGUUUAAGUCAGUUGUGAAAGUUUGCGGCUCAACCGUAAAAUUGCAGUUGAUACUGGAUAUCUUGAGUGCAGUUGAGGCAGGCGGAAUUCGUGGUGUAGCGGUGAAAUGCUUAGAUAUCACGAAGAACUCCGAUUGCGAAGGCAGCCUGCUAAGCUGCAACUGACAUUGAGGCUCGAAAGUGUGGGUAUCAAACAGGAUUAGAUACCCUGGUAGUCCACACGGUAAACGAUGAAUACUCGCUGUUUGCGAUAUACAGCAAGCGGCCAAGCGAAAGCGUUAAGUAUUCCACCUGGGGAGUACGCCGGCAACGGUGAAACUCAAAGGAAUUGACGGGGGCCCGCACAAGCGGAGGAACAUGUGGUUUAAUUCGAUGAUACGCGAGGAACCUUACCCGGGCUUAAAUUGCAGAUGAAUUACGGUGAAAGCCGUAAGCCGCAAGGCAUCUGUGAAGGUGCUGCAUGGUUGUCGUCAGCUCGUGCCGUGAGGUGUCGGCUUAAGUGCCAUAACGAGCGCAACCCUUGUUGUCAGUUACUAACAGGUUCCGCUGAGGACUCUGACAAGACUGCCAUCGUAAGAUGUGAGGAAGGUGGGGAUGACGUCAAAUCAGCACGGCCCUUACGUCCGGGGCUACACACGUGUUACAAUGGGGGGUACAGAGGGCCGCUACCACGCGAGUGGAUGCCAAUCCCCAAAACCUCUCUCAGUUCGGACUGGAGUCUGCAACCCGACUCCACGAAGCUGGAUUCGCUAGUAAUCGCGCAUCAGCCACGGCGCGGUGAAUACGUUCCCGGGCCUUGUACACACCGCCCGUCAAGCCAUGGGAGCCGGGGGUACCUGAAGUGCGUAACCGCGAGGAGCGCCCUAGGGUAAAACUGGUGACUGGGGCUAAG
rnacentral:rRNA from 1 species